CGAGCGAAUGACGAGAAGCUUGCUUCUCUGAUUUAGCGGCGGACGGGUGAGUAACACGUGGGCAACCUGCCCUACAGAUCGGGAUAACUCAGGGAAACCUGGGCUAAUACCGGAUAAUCCUUCGAAUCACAUGUUUUGAAGUUGAAAGGCGCUUCGGCGUCACUGUAGGAUGGGCCCGCGGUGCAUUAGCUAGUUGGUGGGGUAACGGCCUACCAAGGCAACGAUGCAUAGCCGACCUGAGAGGGUGAUCGGCCACAUUGGGACUGAGACACGGCCCAAACUCCUACGGGAGGCAGCAGUAGGGAAUCUUCCACAAUGGACGAAAGUCUGAUGGAGCAACGCCGCGUGAGUGAUGAAGGUUUUCGGAUCGUAAAACUCUGUUGUAAGGGAAGAACAAGUACGUUAGGAAAUGAACGUACCUUGACGGUACCUUAUUAGAAAGCCACGGCUAACUACGUGCCAGCAGCCGCGGUAAUACGUAGGUGGCAAGCGUUGUCCGGAUUUAUUGGGCGUAAAGCGCGCGCAGGUGGUUUCUUAAGUCUGAUGUGAAAGCCCACGGCUCAACCGUGGAGGGUCAUUGGAAACUGGGGAACUUGAGUGCAGAAGAGGAUAGUGGAAUUCCAAGUGUAGCGGUGAAAUGCGUAGAGAUUUGGAGGAACACCAGUGGCGAAGGCGACUGUCUGGUCUGUAACUGACACUGAGGCGCGAAAGCGUGGGGAGCAAACAGGAUUAGAUAA
rnacentral:rRNA from 1 species